GUAGCAAUACAUCACCGGCGGACGGGUGCGUAACGCGUGGGAAUGUACCUAUUGGUUCGGAACAACUGAGGGAAACUUCAGCUAAUACCGGAUGAGCCCGAAAGGGGAAAGAUUUCUCGCCAAUGGAUCAGCCCGCGUCCGAUUAGCUAGUUGGUGGGGUAAUGGCCUACCAAGGCGACGAUCGGUAGCUGUUCUGAGAGGAAGAUCAGCCACACUGGGACUGAGACACGGCCCAGACUCCUACGGGAGGCAGCAGUUGGGAAUCUUGGACAAUGGGGGAAACCCUGAUCCAGCCAUGCCGCGUGGGUGAUGAAGGCCUUCGGG
rnacentral:rRNA from 1 species